rnacentral:rRNA from 1 species
UACGUAGGGUGCAAGCGUUAAUCGGAAUUACUGGGCGUAAAGCGUGCGCAGGCGGUUUUGUAAGUCUGUCGUGAAAUCCCCGGGCUCAACCUGGGAAUUGCGAUGGAGACUGCAAGGCUAGAGUUUGGCAGAGGGGGGUAGAAUUCCACGUGUAGCAGUGAAAUGCGUAGAUAUGUGGAGGAACACCGAUGGCGAAGGCAGCCCCCUGGGUCAAGACUGACGCUCAUGCACGAAAGCGUGGGGAGCGAACAGG